rnacentral:rRNA from 1 species
GCAAGUCGAACGGUAACAGGAAGAGCUUGCUCUUUGCUGACGAGUGGCGGACGGGUGAGUAACGCGUAGGAAUCUACCUAUCUGUGGGGGAUACCGUUUGGAAACGAACGUUAAUACCGCAUAAUAUCUUCGGAUUAAAAGUGGCACUUGUGCUGCUGCGGAUAGAUGAGCCUGCGUUAGAUUAGCUUGUUGGUGGGGUAAAGGCUCACCAAGGCGACGAUCCUUAGCUGGUCUGAGAGGAUGAUC